rnacentral:misc_RNA from 1 species
CAGCAGCAGACGACGCGAGCACCUAGCGGAAAUUAGCGUCAACAGCGGCCCCCGUCAGAUGUGACGCAUUGAUGGCAUUACGUGCGGGAGGCGUCUGUGUUGUUCUUAAAUGACAGCUAGCCGGGCGGGCCUUGUUUCAAAUACUUACUGAAUAUAGCGCCAUGUGUACGACCUGUUCUGCGGUUGGGUGCAGGAACAUGCCCCCGACGCCCGGAGUGAGCUUCCACACGUUCCCCAAGUGUCCCAAGUUGCGCAGGCUGUGGGUGCUGGCCAUGAAGCGCGAUUGCUGGCAGCCCACACCGAGCAGCAGACUCUGCUCGGCGCACUUCAGGGACGAGGACUAUGUCCACGACCCGAGCAUCGCCCUGCGAAUGGGGUUCGAACCAUUCUCGAAGCUUUUGAAGCCCGGCGCCGUUCCCUCUGUUUUCGACCACAAUCGCAAAAAGGUGAACAAGAUUCGAGGAGCUUUCGAAAAACGCCAGCGAAAGGAGAUCGUCAAUGAGGCCUUGGCAGCUUACGAAGCAUCACCUGCAGCACUUCGAAGCACUACGUCACACUUGUGCCAGAAGCAUAUAAAAUGCUGUGACAAAGUGAACCAAAAAGAGUCCAUCUCCAUUGGAACGAACACGCACCACCCAAAGCGCAACCAAGGCCUGAUGACAGAAAGGCCCAUGCUUCGGAAUGCAGCCGUGCAGACUGGCAAACAAGUCAUUUCAACGACGACCUUGUGUGGAAUCCAGCUCACACAUAAAAGAAAAGGAAAAAGAGGGCAUGUACAAAGAAGAUAGAAACUGAAUGCUUACCUUGUCCCACCUUGACAAGCUGCAUUACUAAAGACUGUGGCACAUGUUCUAGUGAAACGACUCUGGAAUUGAAGCUGCUGCCCUGCAAAAUAAAAGGAUGUUGCUAGUCA